AUUCCUGUGAUCUGUGUCCAUGUCUUAAUUGCUGCAUAAAGACUUUUUGACAUCAAUAAUGAAGAAUUGAAUGCACGCCAUGUUAUAAUCUGAUUAACCUUAUGAAAUGGUGUUCUAUAAACAUUAAACGACAAACACACAGUUAAUAAAACAAAAUAAAAUAGUACUUUUGAAAAAAACAUUGUACCUUUUUCUGGUAUUUCGAUUUAACGUAUUUAAAUCAAGUGGUGUUUUUAUAGUAAAAGCUUGAGAUUUAUAUAAAACUAUAUUAUGAUGAAUAAGCAAAAAAGAACACAUAGAAAUAAUUUGCUGAUUAGCCCAAAAAUCAUGGUUGAAAAUAAUAAUACACGUCUAGGUUAUUUUUAUAACUAUACUCCAAAAAAAACUUUUGCAUUUUUUUUGUUGAAAAUAAUUGGUUGAUGUUUCAAAUUUAGGAUUGUAUAUAUUUGUAUUUCUUUAACUAUUCUCACAUUAAUAAGCCUAUACACAUGUUGUGUCACAUGUUAUUGAUAAUAAUUACAAGACACACAAUAGUUGUCUACAAAAGCAUAAAAAUAAACACCAUACUUGUUUAAAAAGCAUAGAUAUGUAAGAGUCAUAACUCGAGGACCCGCCAUUUUUUACUUUUACGGUUGACAAGACUAAUGUUAUUUAUUAAUUUUUAAUAGAAUUUACAGUGUUAUGAUUUUUUUUUGUAAACUAACUUUCAGUUUUUGUUUCUUGUAUGUAUACAUUUAUUAGUUGAUGGUAAUCUAUUUUUAGGUAUAACAUGCUAGAAGUAAAUGCAGGAAAAUAAAAUGUAGGGAAAACUGGAAAAAUUUUAUCUUUACAGACAAUUUGCAACUUGUUCUACAUUCUUCCAAAUCUAAUGGAUUAAGUUGAUCAGGACAAGUCAUAAAAUUUGAUUUAUGGUCACGUUAUUAAGCAGAUCAAAGAUGGUCUACUGUUUUUCCUUAUGAGAGGAAAACCUCAUAUGAUAGAUGGUCUUAACAGCAUGUUGAAUCCAGAUGGAUAAUUGCAGCAUUAGAUAGAAACCAACCUUGGACAAUGGAGCAGUGUAAUGGAUAUUUGGGUCAUCCUUUGAGAACAAAUUCAAUAUAAAUUAUGUGGGUCAAUUCGAAAAGUGUUUUUGUGGUUCAAAAUAAAAAUACCAAGAUAUUUUGUAUUAUUUAUUUAUUAAAAAAUUAAAACGGCUCUAAUAAUUUUUAA